CCCAGCCCGAUCCUCAGCCUCCUUCUCUGUCCCUGUGGAACGCAUUUCAACACCUCACACCAACACACAUCACAGGAACAAGGACAAGAGGCUGAGGGUGACCGUUCCCUUGGACCGCAUUGGUAGCUUAUACCUGUCAGGCAGAAAGAGCAGAAAGGAUGAACCAGAGGAGCAACGGGACUAAUCCAACAGUACUACCGUAGGAUUCGUGUACCAAACAGGCUGGUUGUAAAAGGACAGAUUAAGCCUAGUCUUGUAAAAUCACAGCUACAGGAGAUUACUAAUUAAAACGCUCUUCAAUCUAGGAUUAGGCUUAAUAUGUAUUUAGAAAUUUGUAUGCAACAGGUGCCACCACCUUCUACUACUUCCCUUUUUUUUUAAUAAAUAAAAUCUAUUUAUUGCUAUUUAAUGUCACCCUGUAGUGGUAA